rnacentral:rRNA from 1 species
UACAGAGGGGGCAAGCGUUGUUCGGAAUUACUGGGCGUAAAGGGCGCGUAGGCGGCCUGUUAAGUCGAACGUGAAAUCCCCGGGCUCAACCCGGGAACUGCGUCCGAUACUGGCAGGCUUGAAUCCGGGAGAGGGAUGUGGAAUUCCAGGUGUAGCGGUGAAAUUCGUAGAUAUUCGCAAGAACACCAGUGGCGAAGGCGGCUCACUGGCCCGAUACUGACGCUGAGGCACGAAAGCGUGGGGAGCAAACAGG